CUAAAGUUUCAUAAUCACCAACAACAGUAGAUAUCAACGCCAUAUACGGCGAAAAUGAGGAGAAGUACUGUGACGCAACUCCUGGUCCUCGGCUUCCUUCUGCUAACAUAUGGUGCGACAUCAUAUAAAGAUUGCAAGAGAAAGGUCAUCCCACAGCCCGGUGGUCAUGAUUGUGAUUUAAGUGAAUGCCAGAAUCAAGUGGGUCAAGAGCUCUUGAAGUUUCACUGCCCUCCAAACUGCGCGUGCAACGCCAGUGCCAAGUGUGUUCCUUUUGGGUGUGAGUGCACAAUAUGCAUAUACGCUAAUAAGCAGAGUACACCCCUCCAACAAAUAGAUGGAUCUAGCUGAUGAUGUACAAGGACAUGUUCCCUGAAAUAAAUGUGAUUGAGACAUAUGAAAAUUGAUUUUGGUAUUGCCA